rnacentral:rRNA from 1 species
UGAACGCUGGCGGCAUGCCUUACACAUGCAAGUCGAACGCAGUAGCAAUACUGAGUGGCAGACGGGUGAGUAACAUGUGGGAAUCUGCCUUGUGGUUCAGGACAACAUUGGGAAACCGAUGCUAAUACUGGAUAAGCCCUUACGGGGAAAGUUUUAAUGCCAUAAGAUGAGCCCGCACUUGAUUAGUUAGUUGGUGAGGUAAUGGCUCACCAAGACAAUGAUCAAUAGCUGAUCUGAGAGGAUGAUCAGCCACACUGGGACUGAGACACGGCCCAGACUCCGUACGGGAGGCAGCAGUGGGGAAUCUUGCACAAUGGAGGAAACUCUGAUGCAGCGAUGCCGCGUGAGUGAAGAAGGCCUUUGGGUUGUAAAGCUCUUUGUAGGGGAAGAUAAUGACUGUACCCUAAGAAUAAGGUCCGGCUAACUUCGUGCCAGCAG